rnacentral:misc_RNA from 1 species
GAUGAAGAACGUAGCGAAAUGCGAUAAGUAAUGUGAAUUGCAGAAUCUCGUGAAUCAUUGAAUCUUUGAACGCACAUUGCGCCCUAUGGUAUUCCGUAGGGCAUGCCUGUCUGAGCGUUAGCUCACACCCCUCAAACUACUUUAUUGUUGGUUUGGAUGACUUUGGGAAAGCAUUAUAAAAAAAAAAAAAUUUUUUUUUCUUAUGCCUCUCAGAAAUCUAUAGGCGGUACGGUUCCAACAAAACCAGAACGUAGUAAUUAAUUUUUAUAUCGUUCGUUUAUAUUUUGGAGGAGCUGUUGGCUUGCCUUUUGAACCCACAUAUUUAUUCUUAGGAAUAACCUCAGAUCAGGUAGGGAUACCCGCUGAACUUAAGCAUAUCAAUAAGCGGAGGA